rnacentral:rRNA from 1 species
GAUGAACGCUGGCGGCGUGCCUAAUACAUGCAAGUCGAACGAAACUUCUUUAUCACCGAGUGCUUGCACUCACCGAUAAAGAGUUGAGUGGCGAACGGGUGAGUAACACGUGGGCAACCUGCCCAAAAGAGGGGGAUAACACUUGGAAACAGGUGCUAAUACCGCAUAACCAUAGUUACCGCAUGGUAACUAUGUAAAAGGUGGCUAUACUACCGCUUUUGGAUGGGCCCGCGGCGCAUUAGCUAGUUGGUAGGGUAAAGGCUUACCAAGGCAAUGAUGGGUAGCCGGAUUGAGAGGGUGAUCGGCCACAUUGGGACUGAGACACGGCCCAAACUCCUACGGGAGGCAGCAGUAGGGAAUCUUCCACAAUGGGCGAAAGCCUGAUGGAGCAACGCCGCGUGGGUGAAGAAGGUCUUCGGAUCGUAAAACCCUGUUGUUAGAGAAGAAAGUGCGUGAGAGUAACUGUUCACGUUUCGACGGUAUCUAACCGGAAAGCCACGGCUAACUACGUG